UGCGAACGGUGUAGUAAGAUGAAUCGCGAAGAUUACGUGAGUGCCAUGAGUAACCGCUUAAUAAUAUAAUUGAACGAAUUCAGAACAGACAGGAGCAGCCGAGUACUUCUGGAGCUCUUGUAGAAAGCAUUAGAGACCUCUGGGUAUCAAGCCCCAUUGGUCCGGACAGGUGAUUUUGGAUGAUCCAGCUACCUAAUCACUGAAGAACACCUGAGAUUCCUGCUUUCAUGUGGAUUGCUGAAAUCCUGGAUGUAUCAGUCAGUACAGUGAAACCAAGAUUGAGGCGCUUCAAAUUGUCCUACCUGAUGAGCAUGUCCAGUGUGUAGGAAGAGUUUAAACGGAGCAGACCGCAGCAGCCAGACUCCAUCAGCAUAUCCACCCUCUCCAUGGAUGCCGCAAACAGGAGAGAUCGUCCUUCUGAGACCCCUGUCAUCCCUCGGUUCUCCUCUCCUACAUCAAACAAGCCGAGAAGACAAAGCUUGUCGCGUUCUCUUUUGCUAUCUGUUGCAGUCAUAAUCAUCUCAGUCUGAUAUUUCUUUGUAUUUGUUUAAUUUAUUUAAUGCCUUUCUGCACCAUGUAAACAGUUACCCAAGCACAUAACUGUUAAUCAGAAGGUCACUGGUUCGAUCCCCACAGCCGCCACCAUUGUGUCCUUGAGCAAGACAUUUAAUCCAAGUUGCUCCGGGGGGAUUGUCCCUAUAAUAAGUGCACUGUAAGUCGCUUUGGAUAAAAGCAUCUGCCAAAUGCAUAAAUGUAAAUGUACUCAUACAGACGUCCUAACAGUUGGUUGAGUUCAAGCCCAUGUCUUCUCAAUUUUCACCUCUCAAGCAACUCCAUCUUUCUUGAAAUGCACUGCUGCAAUACGCUAUUGUGGGGAAAUGCCAGACUUUAUAUACCAUAUCCUCUUUACACAUCAGAAAAUUAGCUAAAUCCUGCAACUGAACCCUCUACGGCAUAUGGGAUGGCUGUAGGGGUUACUUUCACUCUUGGCAUUUACAGGGUCUGGACCUAACAAUAUAGCCCUGCAAUAAAUGUUAUGUUUAUGAAGGAUAUAAUUAUAUAUUUUGUUUGAGAUUAUGACCGGAAGAUUGAUCUCUGGUUAUUUAUUCUGGUUUUGUUUUAUUGGAUUGCAUUAUAAACCCAUGGGCCAAUGACUGGGUGAUGGG